rnacentral:rRNA from 1 species
AUUGAACGCUGGCGGCAUGCCUUACACAUGCAAGUCGAGCGGUAACAGGUCUUCGGAUGCUGACGAGUGGCGAACGGGUGAGUAAUACAUCGGAACGUGCCCGAGAGUGGGGGAUAACGAAGCGAAAGCUUUGCUAAUACCGCAUACGAUCUCAGGAUGAAAGCAGGGGGCCGCAAGGCCUUGCGCUCACGGAGCGGCCGAUGGCAGAUUAGGUAGUUGGUGGGAUAAAAGCUUACCAAGCCGACGAUCUGUAGCUGGUCUGAGAGGACGACCAGCCACACUGGGACUGAGACACGGCCCAGACUCCUACGGGAGGCAGCAGUGGGGAAUUUUGGACAAUGGGCGCAAGCCUGAUCCAGCCAUGCCGCGUGCAGGACGAAGGCCUUCGGGUUGUAAACUGCUUUGUACGGAACGAAACGGUUCAGAUUAAUACUCUGAACUAAUAGACGGUACCGUAAGAAUAAGCACCGGCUAACUACGUGCCAGCACG